UCUUCUUCCUUCUCUCUCUAUCUCUCUGCUAAUUAUGGUUGAUUUGGAUUGGAAAGCAAAGAUGGUCUCCACAGAUAUACCUAGCAAAUCCCUCUGACUCUCCAACAAGCUCCACCACCUCUCCAUUCCCGGCUCCUUUCGCGCCACCCAUAUCCAGUCCGACAUUUCCACCGCGCCGCUGUGGUGCCAGAAUCGGAAACCUGGUCGGAGAGUUCGCAAUCGUUAGGCGGCGGCGAGGCUGUGAACCCAUCAGAGGUUACAGAUUCCGGGAGAGAAAAAACCAAUCCCUGAGUUGAAUUAGAAGAACAACAACAAGAAGAAGAACCUCCAUUAACUAUAAAGAAGAACCGUCGGGCGGCGCAACCCCUAUGUCGCUAUCGCCGUCGCAGACGCCGCGGUUGAGCGACAAGUCAGAGAGAGAUUUACGAAUAAGUUGAUUGAGUUGUUGCGUUGGAAUUUUGUUUGAUAUCCCAAGCUGGGUUUCCUCCAUUAAUCUUGAUUGGAAAAUGGGUUGCUGUGGUAGCAAGACCAAAUCCAAUCCAGGUUCUAAUGGGUAUGGCUCCUCAGAAUAGCUCGCUGAUAUUCAAGAUAACAACAGUUCCAUUUGAUGCUCCAGCAGAAACUUCACCAUAGGAGUUCGGAGGCUUCUUCUAAUCAUGUCUUGGCAUUCAUUGACGGUCUUGCCUCCGUUGACAACAGAGGAGGAGGUGCUGGUUCCGGGUUCUAGGGUGGGUUCGUCUGCCAUUGCGUCGCUGAAUUUGUUGGUGUGUUUCUCUCUGCCUAUCUCAGGCAGUGCCUCACGAUUAACUCAUUCUCAAAGAAAAAUCCAUGGCUCUUGGUGCCUAAUUUUCUAUGGGCUACAACCACUUUUCUAUAAAUUGUCAACCCAAACCCAGAGGAGGAAUAAAUUGGCCACUAUGUUUCUCUUAUUCAUACUUUCUAGAUUUAGUUGUUGGGCAUGAAAGUUUGAAGCUUUUUGAUACAAAGAUUGCAUCUUGGUUUGAGUAUUUUUGGGUUGGUUUUGAUGGGAUGGAAGCUUCCUCUGAUCAGUCCAAGCAGGAGCUGGAUUAUAGUCCUAGAAGCUUGAAGGAAUGAUUAUAGUCCUAGAAUCUGCAGGUUGAUCCGGAGAGAGGGAAGAAGAAGAUAAGAAAGAACAGAGAGAGAGAGAGAGGAGAAAAUAAUUAAAGAAAAAAAUAAUCGAUUAAGAUACAAAGAGACGAAAAUAUCCUUUGAAAUAUGACAGCUAGCAGUCUCCAUAAUGGAGUUAAACAGAAUUAACGGUUUCAGGUACUUAUGUUGGGUCGGGGAGUGAACGUCAGGUACCAAUCUGACAUUUUUUUAAGUUGAAGUACUAAAGUUACUAAUGGAAAAAAGAUCAGGUACGGUCCGCAUUUUUUUCCCUAGCAAGAAAUUACUUUAAUUUCAACCAAAAUUUAAUCAGAGCUUUUUACCAAUAAAUGCAAAAGGUAGAAAAAGUUUCCCUUA